AUAAACAUGGCGGGCACAAUCAAGGAUCUAGUUGCUGGUUCAAAGUGAAUAAGCUGUGGAGGACAAGUAUCGAUGAAUCAAAAGGGGUGCAGGCAACUCAACUCAACCCGUCGUUCCACUAGCACUCGUUCCCAUGGAGCUCUUUGCUUUUUGGCCUCGCCGGGUACAAUUGGCUUCGGUCACCAUCAUCAAGUCCAGGGACGAAUUGAUGACGGCGAUGAGGAUGAUGAUGGUGCUGCAAUGGAUUGCGCUGGCGAGUGCUGCUUCAAUUUGGAGUCCCCACAAGAUGAUCGGGCAGCGCAGAAGGCUGCAAUGGAUACUUCAAUACACCCCAUCCUCCCCCUACUCAAUUUAUUGCCCCUUUUUCUGGGUCGCAUUAUACUCGAGAGAAUGUUGCAAAUAAAAAGAAGAUACAUUA